rnacentral:rRNA from 1 species
UACAGAGGUCUCGAGCGUUAGGCGGAAUCACUGGGCUUAAAGCGCGUGUAGGCGGAUCGUUAAGUACCUUGUGAAAUCCCACGGCUUAACCGUGGAACGGCUGGGUAUACUGGCGGUCUUGAGCCACCUAGGGGCCUGCGGAACAAGCGGUGGAGCGGUGAAAUGCGUAGAUAUCGCUUGGAACGCCAAUGGUGAAAACAGCUAGCUGGGGAUGUGCCGACGCUGAGACACGAAAGCCAGGGGAGCGAACGGG